rnacentral:rRNA from 1 species
UACAGAGACCUCAAACGUUGUCCGGAUUCAUUGGGCGUAAAGAGCUCGUAGGCGGUUCGAUAAGUCGGGUGUGAAACCUCCAGGCUCAACCUGGAGACGCCACCCGAUACUGUCGUGACUAGAGUCCAGUAGGGGAGCGUGGAAUUCCUGGUGUAGCGGUGAAAUGCGCAGAUAUCAGGAGGAACACCAGCGGCGAAGGCGGCGCUCUGGGCUGGAACUGACGCUGAGGAGCGAAAGCGUGGGGAGCGAACAGG